GCCGAACGCUGGCGGCGUGCUUAACACAUGCAAGUCGAACGAAGUGGCGAACGGGUGAGUAACGCGUAAUCAACCUGCCCUUCCGAGGGGGCCAACAGGUGGAAACGACUGCUAAUACCGCAUACUGAGGGAGUGGCUUGCGUCUGAUUAGCUAGUUGGAGGGGGAACGGCCCACCAAGGCGAUGAUCAGGAGCCGGGCUGGGAGGAUGAACGGCCAAAUUGGGACUGAGACACGGCCCAGACUCCGACGGGAGGCAGCAGUGGGGAAUCUUCCGCAAUGGACGAAAGUCUGACGGAGCAACGCCGCGUGAGUGAUGACGGCCUUCGGGUUGUAAAGCUCUGUUAAUCGGGACGCGGUACCGGAAUAGAAAGCCACGGCUAACUACGUGCCAGCAGCCGCGGUAAUAC
rnacentral:rRNA from 1 species